rnacentral:rRNA from 1 species
CCUACGGGAGGCAGCAGUGAGGAAUAUUGGACAAUGGAUGGAAAUCUGAUCCAGCCAUGCCGCGUGCAGGAAGACGGCCCUAUGGGUUGUAAACUGCUUUUCUACGGGAGCAAUAAGGUCUACGAGUAGACUGAUGAGAGUACCGUAGGAAUAAGCAUCGGCUAACUCCGUGCCAGCAGCCGCGGUAAUACGGAGGAUGCGAGCGUUAUCCGGAUUUAUUGGGUUUAAAGGGUGCGUAGGCGGCUUUUUAAGUCAGCGGUGAAAUUUUGCAGCUUAACUGUAACAGUGCCGUUGAUACUGAGAGGCUAGGAUUUGGUUGCUGUGGGUGGAAUGUGUGGUGUAGCGGUGAAAUGCUUAGAGAUCACACAGAAUAUCGAUUGCGAAGGCAGCUCACAAAGCCAAGAUUGACGCUGAGGCACGAAAGUGUGGGGAUCAAACAGGAUUAGAUACCCUGGUAGUCCACACUGUAAACGAUGAUAACUCGCUGUCGGCGAUACACAGUCGGUGGCCAAGCGAAAGCGAUAAGUUAUCCACCUGGGGAGUACGACCGCAAGGUUGAAACUCAAAGGAAUGAC